GCGUGCCGCCGCGGUCUACGUCGGCGCGCCGUCAUCUGUUGGGUCCGCCCGCACGGCACGGGGCGGAAGAGGCGAGAGGA
rnacentral:ncRNA from 1 species